rnacentral:rRNA from 1 species
UACGUAGGGCGCAAGCGUUGUCCGGAAUUAUUGGGCGUAAAGAGCUCGUAGGCGGUUUGUCGCGUCUGCUGUGAAAACCUAAGGCUCAACCUUGGGCUUGCAGUGGGUACGGGCAGACUAGAGUGCGGUAGGGGUGACUGGAAUUCCUGGUGUAGCGGUGGAAUGCGCAGAUAUCAGGGAGGAACACCGAUGGCGAAAGGCAGGUCACUGG